rnacentral:lncRNA from 1 species
UCUUAAGAAACCAACAUCACAAGUAUCCAUUAAAUUAAACCAAAAUAAGGAUGAAUAAGAUUGAUAAUUACCGAACGCUAAGAUGGACUGUAUAGAAUAGUUCCAAAAUUAGUUUGAAACAAAGAAAGCAAGUAAAUUUAAUUGAAUAAACUACCUGUUAGCAAAUAAUUAAAACCCAUGGAACAUCUUCACCUAUCUCGAAUAGGACAAGCAGAAUGCUUAAAUCACUUAAAGAGCAAUACAAGAAUCUGUACAUGCGUUUCUAAGUAUUCUGAACUACCAAGAAGACCUUUAAUUUCCAAAGCAUUUAAGAAAAUAAAAUAAGGAAUCUAACAAAAAUAAUCCUAAAGCUUAAUCAAUGUUGAACCAAUUAUGGCAGUACGAUACAACCACUAGCCUCUAAUUAAAAUUUUUGAAUUUUAAAACUAAAUUAGGACCCAACUGUUUCUACAUAUUGUCACGAACAUACAAGAAACUGUAGAAUUAUCAAUCUCGGCAACUACAACCUGGGGAGCUGAGUCUCUUUUUCAGAGGUAAACUUGACCAACAGGUGGUCAAAUCCAUCAUCCGCCAUAUCUCAGUGUCAUUUUAAGCAUAAAUCAUUAGUUUAAACAAUAAGAGGCAACAGAAAGUAAUGAACUAAUCAAUGAGCACUUUAGCAACUUAAAUUUUAAUUUUAACAUACAACAACAACAAAGAUUAACAGAGGACAAACACUAGUAGCUUCGAAAUAGAGGAAAAACACUAAGUAGCUUCGAAACAUAAACACACUAAAUAUAUAAAGCCAAACAUAAGCAACUCAUAAUACCACAAGUCUUAUUUAAACACAACAGAGGAUAGUAGUUUCGAUCAGGUACAUACCUAAAGGCAGAAACAACUGCAGAACAAAGAUCAAAUGAAGAUCUAGAACUCUUAAGGAUGAAGUCCAGCUAUAGCGAGAUGAGCACAGCAGAGAACAACAAAAAAUUUCGAUUCAAAAAGCUUUAAAGAAAACCCAUAAAAUGAUCAACAGUCUCGUGAAAUUAGUAGUUUCUGGUUUCUCUGUUUUCCUGAAGGAGAAGGUCACUUCUCUUAGGUCUGAUCUAAUCUAAAAAAAAAGGAAGGUCUGAUCAUUCUGAUUCUCUUGUUCUCUCUUUUUUUUCGCUGAGNNNNNNNNNNNNNNNNNNNNNNNNNAAAAGCUUUAAAGAAAACCCAUAAAAUGAUCAACAGUCUCGUGAAAUUAGUAGUUUCUGGUUUCUCUGUUUUCCUGAAGGAGAAGGUCACUUCUCUUAGGUCUGAUCUAAUCUAAAAAAAAAGGAAGGUCUGAUCAUUCUGAUUCUCUUGUUCUCUCUUUUUUUUGCUGAGUGAGGUCAGGAACUUUUUGAGGGGAACGACGCUCCUCUUUUUGUGAAGGAGCAGGUCUGAAGGAGCAGGCCUUGGCCCAAUUCAAAAUAAGAUAACUUUUUUUUUGUUCUUUCUUUCUUUCAUUGAUUUUAAAAAAAUUAGUUUGAUUAAUUAAACAAGCUAAAUAAAAGGGAUAAUUUCACAUAAAUAUAACUCACACACCUGACUUACAACAUAAUAGCCUAGAUAUCACUUUGCAAAUUUAUAGCCCAAAAAUAAUCGGUUAAUUCCCGAAAAACAGCUUAUUUCACACAAUCAACUACUGUUGUUGCUCCCUCUUUAUACAACCAGUUGUUUUCAUUCUCUUGAUUUCCUUUGAUUAUUAAGCAUUUGAUAAAAAAAUGCAAAUAAGCCACAACGCAACUCAAAAAUCCUAUCCUGAAUAAUACAUAUUAUCUGAAGGUAAGAAAUUCAAGCAUUUUUAUGUGCAAUUGCUGAAGCAAUCCAACAGGAUAAAAGAAAAAUAAAAAAAAUUGAUAAAUGAAUUGUAGAAUUCCUCCAACGCGUACAAAUCUGUUUCAUAUAGCAUAUACACGAAAAAGAAGAAGAGAAGGAAGUGUCAAACUUCUGUAGAGGUCUCUUACACGCUAACAACAUUAUACUGGAAAAAUAUAUAUCUAUACAACAUUAUACACAAAUAUACACAUUUAUACACAAUUAUACAAUAUUGUAUAAACAUGUAUAAUAGUGUAUAAGAGGUGUUUGUAUAUCCAUAUACACAAUUAUACACUAUUAUACAGUGUCGAUACAACCUGCUACAUAGUUAUGAUUUUCCAGAACUUCAAACUUCAAAAUCUUCCAAAAUUACCAGAACUUCAAAAUUUUCCAAAAUUAGUGGUUGUUUGUUGGUGCAAAUCAAGUUUGAGAGCUAUUUAUUUUCAGAUCUGUGUGUAUUUUCAUGUUUCUUUCAAAUUUCUUCAUUCUUCUGCUUGCCACCAUGGACAACGGAGUAGGAGCCCGACCUUCUUCGAGCCAUUAAUGGCAGAACUACGUGGGGGGUAGAGGAGGGGGAAUGCGGGGGCUAGGUUAAGAGAAGAUGAGGGAUCUAUGUGGGUUAGAAAGAAAGAAGUGAGAGGCGGUGAGAGAGAGAAGGGAAUGAAGAAAGAAGAAAAUAAUAAAAACUCUAAAAGUAUGUCUUUAAUAAUGGGCUAAAGGCUGAAAAUCUUCUUUCAAGUUAUGUACAACAUGGGCUAAAUAGGGUAAGAGCUUCAAAUGUGGGCCAUUUUCGGUUGGGCUAUUGGGCCAAGUGACAUGGGUUGUAAUUCCUUCUAAAUAAAAUCCUAAAUUACGCUCUACCUUAAAUUAUUUUGUAAAGUUAAUCUUACUUAUUUUUACUAAUUUAACACUAAUUAAUUUAAAAUAAAAGCUAAAAUAUGAACAUGACUAUUAUAGUAAUUUUUUUAUUGUGAUUUUUGUUUAAUGAAUGCAAUUAAAUUAUGAAAUUAAAUUCCUAAAUGCAAAUUAAACUUAAGAUGGCAUGGAAUAAAAAAUGUGAUAAUUUUUUUAUGAAUUUUAAAAUGUUAAAGAUGCAUGGAAUGCAACUAAAAAAAGAAAAACUCCUAAAAUUCACUAAAAUUAUUUUUGGUCUAUUUUUUAGGAGUUAUUUCCAUGCGGGUCAAAAAUUAGGUGCUCACAGCUGCCCCUCUUUUCUCGAGAACAUGAAGAGUUUUCGGGCAAAGAUAAAGUGAGCAAUUACGAGCUAUUUUUGCCCGUUUGAUACUCCAUUUGGAAGCAUUUUUUUUGAAAAAGUUUGACCGAACCUUACUUCGGAGGUUGCCUACAUAUCCUUAGCUUUAAAGGAAUCAGGUUGGUGUAGUUCUAGAAGUUUUGGUAGCUGAGACUACCGAAAAACUGUGAUUUCUUUGUUGUUGCUGCUGUUUCUGCUUGCUGAACUCCUUAUUACACCAAAAUAAAAAAUGAAAAGCUAAACUAGAUAAGCCUAUCAGCUACGAGUUACAAGAUUUCUAUCUAUAAACCUUCUAAAGCUUGAUCUUGAGUCUUUGCCGGUUCUUCCUGCUGACUCUGAUCUGAAUCUUGAUGCUCGUUUAGCUGCAACCGCUGAUUCAUUCUUCUACAGCUUUUUGGAUCAAGGUGCGACAUGCAAAGUUUGUGACUUCAACCAUAUCUUGAGCAGUCCACGUCUUCUCUCCGCUUCUACACUUUAGAGCUCACUUCUUUUUUUCUUAAUUUUCUUUCCUUUUUUUUGAAUCGAGAUUUCUUCUUUUGGUCGCCUUGAAACUUGUGCCUCACGAUAAAAACCUUCUCAGGCAUCAAAACAAAUAAACGAACGAAAUUUUUCUGCCCCAGUUUUCACUAGGAAAAUUUCAUGAGUUAUUGCAACAAAAUCUAAACUAUUUCUUUAUUGUAAGCAAUAAAAUCGGGAUUGUAUCCUUGAGAAAAAGAGAUCAGGGAGUGGAGACCCUAUAUCUAAAAUAAAAUCAAAUGGGGAUCGGAGGCCCUAUGUUGGGAAGAUUACCAGGUUAUGCUAGAAAAAAAAUGACUGGGUUAUGCCGGAAAAGGUCCUCAGGUUAUGCCGGAGAGGUCCACAGUUUAUGCCGGGAAAGUCAUCGGGUUAUGCCAGAUAAGGUCCUCGGGUUAUGCCGGGGAGGUCCACCGGUUAUGCCGGAAAAGGUCCUUGGGUAAUGCCGGGGAGGUCAUCGGGUUAUGCCGGAAAAGGUCCACGGGUUAUGUCGGGAAAGUCAUCGGGUUAUGCCAGAAAAGGUCUGUGGGUUCUGCCGAGGAGGUCAUCGGAUUAUGCCAGAAAGGUCCUCGGGUUAUGCCGGGGAGGUCCACGGGUUAUGCCGGGGAGGUCCUCAAGUUAUGUCGGGAAGGUCCAUGGGUUAUGCCGGAAAAGUCAUCGGGUUAUGCCGGAAAAAGUCUUGGGUUAUGCCGGGGAGGUCCACGAGUUAUGUUGGGAAGUCAUCGGGUUAUACCGGAAAAGGUCCUCGGGUUAUGCCGGGGAUCAAUUAGGGAGUGAGACCCUAUACUGGAAAAAACUACCAGGUUAUGCUGGCAGCGACUAGGGAAUGGGACCCUAUAUUGGAAAAAUGUAGCUAGAGAUUGGGGACCCUAGGCUACCAUGAUUUUGAAUUUUUCUUCUUUUUCUUUUAUUUUUUUUAUUUCAUAGAAUGAGUAAAUGCGGGAAAGAAUUUUGGAGGGGACUUCCCUUUUUGGAUUGUUGCUGCAAAGUUGUUUCCAGCCCUUGCGCAGUUUCUUUUUUGUUGCACCUGUUUCUUGCAAGGUUGCUUCGAAUUACACAUGUUUUCUGUUUUUCAAACAAAAAACAAUUUGUCAAUUUGAAAUGGUGGUUGGUUUUGUGGCCUUGAUUAUUUCAACCAUUUGAUCUCGGCCCCUUUCAUCUGCAAUCGGUUGUUUCCCGAAUACCGAUUACAUUUCAGACUCUGGAGAAACUCUGGCAUUUCCAGACUUUGCCAUGACGAUUGGUCGAUGGGACUCCACCUUUUCGACUUUAUUUUGCCUAUGUAGGCCCUUCCCUUCUGACUUCUUGUUUUUCUUUUCUCUUUUUUUUCUUUUUCCUUCUUUUUUUUUUGUUUUUUUAACUUCGGAGCAUUGGGGAACUUUUGGCUCCUCAAAAUUGCUGCAACGGCUACUCGCGUGGGACUUAACCUUUUCCAACUUUAUUUCGCCUUCGUAGGCCUUUCUAUUCUGGCUUCUUUUUUCCUACUUCAAUUUCAGAGCAUUUGGGGUACCUUGGAUUUUUCAAAUCUUUGCCGAGACGGUUAGCCACGUGGGACUCAACUUUUUCAACUUCCAAGAGUUUUCAAUUUCAAAACAUCAACCACCAUGGUCGGUCGAAGUUGACUUGAUGCCCCUGACGAGGCUGGGUGCCUUAUUGCAUAUUAGCUCGUGUCAAAUGAGAACCCUUUAAAUCAGUCUCGUCAUCCCUUCUUUGUCUCAGUUUCGGAAUAGAGUUAGACUGAAAGGGAUUCAAAGUAAAAACAAACAAAGGAAUUGAUAAAUGAAUUUAGACAAGAGGUAUCUCCUUCGGGGAAAGGAAAGAAGGACUUAUCUGGAGUACAUACGGACUUCAAUGAACAUGACAUGCCUUUUGGACUGGAUGCCUGAUCUGUAUAAACCGUCCGACUCUCAGAAAUGCAACACAACUUUUGCCUCAAAAUCGAGAACCUUGCCCGGACUCUGUCGAUGCCGAUGGCUGUGAGGAUUCUCUUUUUGAUCAGGGACGCCCUUUGCAGGUUUUCACGAGUUGACCUCUCUCAUUUCUCUUCUCACCAUCGCCUUAUAGUGCUCUUUGCCAGUUUUCACUAACAAGACUCUCAUUUUGAUUUCUUUGCUUACUGUCGCCUCACAGUGCCCGUGUGGGUUUUCACCAAUAAGACUCUCAUUUUAUUUUUCUCAUUUUGACUGUAUCGGAUCCAAGUAACUGUAUUCUUCGGUCCUUGAACAUUCUCACCGAUUGAUCGGAAGGACUUGAACAGGGUUUGGGUAAAAAAAGAUUUGGAUUGAGCUACAACUUUGGAACCUUUUGGGUGGGAUCAUCGCCGAACCAUUAUAACAUCUGCCCCAGUUUCACUUUUUAGGAGACUUUGAAUUUUUAUUUUGGUGUGACUGAAUCCCAGAGAGGCUGCCUACGUAUCCUUUCGGAAUCAAGUCGAACGUAGUUCAUGGAACUUUGUUUUUGAUUUUCUUUUGUUUUUUCUUUUUGCUUUGUUUUCUCUUUCUUUUUCCUUUCAAAAAUUUUCAUUUUUCAUUCAUCCCUUUUUUUCAAUAAUAACUCCAGGUUCCAAAGAAGGUAAUCAAAUAAUAGGAGCCGGCUCAAAGAGUUUGCAAAGGGUUAUUUGGAUAGUGAGAAAGAAAGUCUUCUUCAUCCCAACCGGAGAACAUUAAUACUAUAUAGAGAAUCCAACAUAGUACCUUUUGACUGCAUUUGCAUUUACAGUUGUUUUAGGGACAUUUCCUUCAAUGUGUCCCAAGUACAACGCACUCUUUGGUAGUACUUUUGUUACCAUGUAUGGAUCUUUCCAAUCUGGAGCCAAUUUUUCUUUAGCUGUUCCAACUCUUUAUUUUAUUUCCUUAAACUUGUCUUCAUUACUAUCUAAUUCUUGAUUCAUUAUUUCAAGGUCUAACAGUGUUUCAGGGUCUGGGCAUGAAGUCCGCAAAUAUAUCAUGUUAUUGAAAUCUCCAUUUAAUAGAAUUAAAAAGAGAAUAAGAAAAAAUGAUAAGAUUAAGAAAAGAGACAUCAUUGGAAGAAUUUCAUUUGAUUUUGAUUUUUUUUUAUUUGAAUUUCAUUUGAUUUUGAUUUUUUUUUAUUUGAGCUUUUGAAUUUCAAAAGAUAGAAUGGUUAACAUCGAAAAGUAAGACAAUAAAGUAAACAUCCGGAUAACACCCUGAGAUAAUCCGAAUGCAGAAAGGAUAGCAAGACUGGCUACCGAGACUCCCGUCUGAUGGGGAAGUUUCAGGCUUGGCAACCGUCUUUCGACUUUUCUUUUGUCUCGGCAAUGGUUGCAAUGGCCUUCAGUGCCGGAUAAAAUUCCCCAUCUUCACAAAUAUUCCGACUAUUGGCCCGCUGUUGUGGGUANNNNNNNNNNNNNNNNNNNNNNNNNUUCGGCCGGUUCAGGGCCACUGGCUGCAAUAGAUCUAGCCUGAUUAGCUUAUGGAACAAGUUUGAAUACGAUUCACUAAUAGGGGUGAACUGAUUCUUUCUGAAAGGCUCUCUUGGUUGAGGAUUGUACUGGGGAUCAUUUGGUUGAGGAUUAUAUGGAGCUUGGUAAGGAUGGACAUUUCUAGGAGGUGGAGCUCGGUUUUAUGUAUAAUGUUGUGGCCGCGUGUAAGGUUGCACGUUCAUCACCGCAUAAAGAGGUGGUGCCACGGCAUAAGCAGCAUCCUGAAGGGGAUAAUAAUAUUGAGGGACCUCAGGAAGCAUAUCUAAUUAGCUGAAUGACCUGUGGGUCCCCCUCGAGCUGGAAGCCAUCAUGGCUUCUUCUUCUCUCCCGUUUCCAUUUAUUAAAUCCUUUGAACCAUUUUGAACAUCUGGUGAUAUGGCUUUAAAAGUAGCAUGAAUCAAAAGUCGACCUGUUUUUAGCCCACUUUCUACUAUCUCCCCAAUUUUGAUAGCCUCAGCAAACGCCUUUCCCAUGGCGGACAUCAUGUUCUAGAAGUAGUCCGCCUCUUGGGCUUGUAGAAAGACCGUGACCAUUUCAAUUUCGUUCAUUGGAGGCUUUACCCUGGCAGCUUGCUCAUGCCAUUAGACAGCAUAUUCGCGAAAGCUUUCUACGAUUUUCUUUUUUAAAUUAGACAAAAGGUUUCUGUCGUGAGCGAUGUCCACAUUAUACUAGAACUGGCGGACAAAAUCUCGGGUCAUAUCGUCCCACAUGUGCCAAUGGGUAAUUUCUUGAUCCGUAUACCACUCAGAAGCGAUUUCGGUGAGUCUUUCCCUAAAAUAGGCCAUUAGCAGCUCCUCUUUCCCACCAAUACCCCUCAACUGGUUACAGCAUCGUUUCAGAUGAGCGACCGGGUUUCCGUGCCCGUUGUACUUUACAACUUUUGGCAUCUUGAAGCCAACUGACAAGUGGACAUGGGGAAAUAUAUAGAGGUCAGAGUAUGAGACACUCUUUUGGCCACUCAGACCUUGCAUGUUUUUCAUGCUUUGUUCUAGGCUCUUCAUCUUCCGAGCCAUUUCCUUUUGCUCGGGAUUUUUAACAACCUUUUCUUGCUCCACCGAGAGAUCAUAUUGCGGAGGUUGAGUUAAAGAGUACGGGGUCACAUAUGUUAUUUUUGAUUGAAGUUGUGGACCCUGAAAGGUGAACACUGGAGGCUCAACAUACGGCCGUGGUAAAGUUGGUUGUGUUCUGGUGCAGACUGGUGCUAUAGAGAACAAUAUUGGAGGUGCCCAAGAAACUGGUGCUGUAGAGAACAAUAUUGGAGGUGCCCAGGAAACUGACGCCUGGGGGCGAACCACAGAAAGCAUGUCAGGAUCAUUGGAGGUCAUUGGAGGGUGCCCGCAUGAGAUGAGCGGGUUGGGCACAGGGGCUUUGGUAACCUCACCUGACCUGAGGAUCAACUCAGGGAACUCAGGAAUUACACUUGGCGGUUCCUUACUAUUGGACCAGGCGUCCCACAUUUUCAGUAUGCGGAGACGCAACAUCUUAUUCUCUUCAGCAGCUGCUGAUUCUAGCUGCAUAAUAGCCGAUGCCGGGCUAUCCUCAGGACCAAUGAUUGGUAGAUUGCUUGCGGAGGCCAUUUGUGCCUUUGGAUCUUGUGAAAGAGAGGAGGAUAGACUACCAACAAAACCAACCACCAAAAUCUAACUAGUUUACACACCCAACAACCUUGUUAGUUUUGAGACAUUUAACAUAUAGGAAAUCGCACGUAGGGAUGCAAUGCACCUAAUAGUUAAACGCUUAUAUCAUGUGUUUGAACGGUUGCAUGUUUCAUCUCGGCCUUAACUAACCCUUUCAGUAUGUACCUCUUUUCAUUUAUUUCUGCCUCUCUUUAAUCUCUCUUAAUUUUUUUUUCAUUUUUUUUUGGUCACUCUUUUAUUUUUUGGCACUCUCUUUUCUUUCUUUCUUUUUCAUUUUCUUUUUUUUUGUUUUUUUUUCACUUAAGUUUUCUUUCUGUUUUUUUUUUAGUUUAUUUUUUCACUCAAUUUAUUUUAUAGCUAUGAUCGAAUCCGAUGAGGAUUGCCUACGUAUCAUGACGCCGCAUGAAUCAGAUCAAGUAGUUUGGGAAGAUCGAGAAUGGAGUAAAUAAGCUAACUUUUUUUUCUUUUUAUAAAACUCAGACCAAGAAAGCUUUAAAAUCAAAGAAAAAUAUUUUUUUUUUGAUUUGUGAUUUUUAUUUUAUUUUUAAUUCUUUUGGAAUUUUCGGAAAAAAUGUUUUAAAAGAAGAAAGGAAAUAUUUUUUUGCAUUUUUUUAUUUUGAUUGAUUUUUUAAAAUUUAUUUUUGAAAGAGAGACUUCUAAAAAUUUAAAUUUAUUUUCUUUUGAUUUGAACUUUGGAAAUUUUAAAAGUAAAAGAAAAUAUUUUUUGUUUGAACUUUCAUUUGUUUUAUUUUUUUCUAAAGAAAUAUUUUUGGAUUUUGGAUGCUACCUCUUAAUUUUCGAAAGAGGGACUUUUAAGAAAAUGUUUUGGAUUUCUGAGUUUUUUAUUUUAUAUUUAUUAUUACAUAAGUACUUCUAAAGAAUAACGCAAAUAUUUUUGGACUUCACAUUUUCCAAAAAAAAAAAUUUUGACAUUUACGAAAGAAAGAAUUUUAAAGAAGGAAAAGUAUAUAUAUAUAUAUAUAUAUUUGGAUUCACUUUUUCCUGAUUUUUUGGGAAAAAUAUUUCAAAAUAAAGGAAACCCGUAUUUUGGAUUUUGUUUUUUUUUCUUCUUUUUAUUUCUUUUUUCCGUAUGAAAGACUUCUGAAAGAAGGAAACUACUUUUUUUUGAGUUUUAAAAACUUCUUUUUUUUUAAUUUUCUAAGGAAAGAUUUCUAAAGAAGGAACUAAUGGAAUUUUUUUUUUGAAUUUUUUUAAAAAUUGGGGCCGGAACCGAUAAGGUUUGCCUGCGUAUCUCAUACCCGGUGAGAAUGAGACCCGCAUAGUUCGGUCAGUUUUGACAGAACAGGGGAAACAUGGCACUUGAAAAUUUUGGCUUAUUUUGAAAUGGCUUUUCUUUUUUCAGAAUUUCGGCAGAGUUUCAGAAUUUUCUAAAUACCUACCUCUCAAUUUUUUUUUCUUCCCCUAUUCUAGAAGUCGGUCAACAAGCAAGCCGAAACAAACAGAUGCGCAAGUAGCACGUAAGAUGCAUCGAGAUGGUCUUUUAAAUUGGGUUCACCUGUCCUAGACGGACCCUACCCUUGCGUUGAGUCCCCAAAGUCAAAUGCACAUGAUGCAAACAAGCGUUCCUACUAGGGAUCCGGUAUGAGGCUGAGUUAUUCUAGGUUUAAAACCUGGGUGUAUUGUUCUAGACUUGUAACCGAGCGGACAACUCGAGGGGGGGCUACGUACCGGGAACCAAAAGGUCAUCCGGAUUUGUAACUUGUCUGAGCCUCUUUCUUCUUUAAGGUGAGUCACGCCAGCGUGCACAUCCCCGAAGACGAGAAGAGAAGGGUUUCGUAACAGUUUAUAUACAGUUUAAAUAAUAUCAAAGCGGUAAAAAGCGACAUUUAGCACAUUAGGCCCAAACAUGUAAAAAUCAAUUAUAAAUAAAGCCAACUAAAACAGUUAUUCUAAGCUCGAAUUCUGAACCAUGAACAUGAGAUUCUGGGUUCAGUCCCUAGCAGAGUUGUCAGAGCUGUCACACCUCUCUUUUACCACCCAAUGGGGUAUAUAAGGGAAUUUUUUCAAUUGAAGUGACAUUAUUCGAAAUGAGAUUAUUUUAUUUAAUUUUUAGAGUUGCCACUUGGAAUAAUUUAUUUGGGUGUCCCAAGUCACCGGUUUAUUUUAAAUCCCAAAUCGAGAAAAUUGACUUUAUUUAAAAGUCUGCGAAACCAGAAAUUCUAGGUAAGGAAUUCUGUUAACCCGUAAGAAGGUGUUAGGCAUUCCCGCGUUUCGUGGUUCACGCACAGUUGCUUAAACUAUUAAUAAUUGGCCUAUUAUCUGAUUUACUACAUGUUUUAAACCUAUUGUGCAUUUUAACUUUAUAACCUCUUUUAAUUAUUUUAACUGCUUUUUAGGAUUUAUGGAUUUAUUUCUUGAUCAAGUUACGAUUGUUGUACACUUAUUUAUUUUGGAACACACCGCAAAUCACGCUAUAUGAAAUGCACCCGUGAUUCGCGAUACGUUUAUUUUAUUAAUGUUCGAAGUUAUUAUAAUCGGAUCACAUGAAAUGCACACCCGAAUUGGAGAUUAGGUAUCACGACCAUGCCACGGGAACCGCACCCACAGCCGUAAUGAUUUAUUUAAUUAACGCGCCUAAAGCAAACUACGACAUUUAUAAAUUGUUUUCCCUAAAACUUGUUUGAGAUUAUUGGGAGGCAAAAAGCUUAUGAAAAUUAGUUGUGGAAGAAAAAGAGUAGAUUAGCUUUGAAAAUGUGGAUUAGCCAUACUAGUUUUAUAUUCUUGCGGGUUGGCAGACUUUCCCAUUUAGCACCACUAUGUGAUGACCACUACGAAAACCAAAUUGGAGACGAUAACUAUUCCCUUACACACAAAUCCUUUUGUUGUUACAUUUAUCUAUUUUUAUAAAUUAAAAAAACCCAUUCUUAAAUUCUACUAACAAUGUAGUAUCCUAUCCUAAGAAACCAACAUCACAACUAUCCAUUAAAUUAAUCCAAAAUAAGGAUGAAUAAGAUUGAUAAUUACCGAACGCUCAGAUGGAUUGUAUAGAAUUGUUCCAAAAUUAGUUUGAAACAAAGAAAGCAAGCAAAUUUAAUUGAAUAAACUACCUGUUAGCAAAUAAUUAAAACCCAUGGAACAUCUUCACCUAUCUCGAAUAGGACAAGCAGAAUGUUUAAAUCACAUAAAGAGCAAUACAAGAAUCUGUACAUGGGUUUCUAAAUAUUCUAAACUACCAAGAAGACAUUUAAUUUCCAAAGCAUUUAAGAAAAUAAAAUAAGGAAUCUAACAAAAGUAAUCCUAAAGCUUAAUCAAUGCUGAACCAAUUAUGGCAGUAGGAUACAACCACUAGCCUCUAAUAAAAAUUUCUGAAUUUUAAAACUAAAUUAGGACCCAACUGUUUCUACAUAUUGUCACGAAUAUACAAGAAACUGUAGAAUUAUCAAUCUCGGCAACUACAACCUGGGGAGCUGAGUCUCUUUUUCAGAGGUAAACUUGACCAACAGGUAGUCAAAUCCAUCAUCCACCAUAUUUCAGUGUCAUUUUAAGCAUAAAUCAUUAGUUUAAACAAUAAGAGGCAACAAAAAGUAAUGAACUAAUCAAUGAGCACUUUAUCAACUUAAAUUUUAAUUUUAACAUACAACAACAACAAAGAUUAACAGAGGACGAACACUAAGUAGCUUCAAAACAUAAACACACUAGAUAUAUAAAGCCAAACAUAAGCAACUCAUAAUACCACAGGUCUUAUUUAAACACAACAGAGGAUAGUAGUUUCGAUCAGGUACAUACCAAAAGGCGGAAACAACUGCAGAACAAAGAUCAAAUGAAGAUCUAGAACUCUUAAGGAUGAAGUCCAGCUAUAGCGAGAUGAGCACAGCAGAGAACAACCAGAAAUUUCGAUUCAAACAGCUUUAAAGAAAACCUAUAAAAUGAUCAACAGUCUCGUCAAAUUAGAAGUAGUUUCUUGUUUCUCUGUUUUCCUGAAGGAGAAGGUCCCUUCUCUUAGGUUUGAUCUAAUCNNNNNNNNNNNNNNNNNNNNNNNNNUUUUUGGCUGAGUGAGGUCAGGAACAUUUUAAGGGGAACGACGCUCCUCUUUUUCUGAAGGAGC